CUCUCUCACACCAAACCAAACCAAAAGGAAGGCCAAAACUUGAGACGCCCCGUUCGUCAAAUUUUCCCCUCUCAAUAAUAAAAUCCCAGUAGGUCUCUCCCUUUCUCUUUCAAUUUCAACGGGGCUCUCUAUCCCUUAGUUUUAUUUUCAUUUUCAAUUUCAAUUUCAAUUAGAUUUCAUUAGGUUUUCUUAGAUCGAGAACAACAAGAUCGCAAGCUCGAUUGUUAGGGUAUAGCAGAGACCAUGGAGAAUAUGAUGAGCAAGCUCCGGAAUUUGGACGCCUAUCCCAAAAUCAACGAAGAUUUCUACAGCCGUACCCUCUCCGGCGGCGUCAUCACCCUCGCCUCCUCCGUCGUUAUGCUCCUCCUCUUCCUCUCCGAGCUCCAAUUAUAUCUACAUGCGGUGACGGAAACGAAGCUUGUGGUGGAUACUUCGAGAGGAGAAACCCUGCGUAUCAAUUUCGAUGUAACUUUUGCUGCGCUUCCUUGUUCUAUACUCAGUCUUGAUGCUAUGGACAUCAGUGGAGAGCAGCACCUUGAUGUAAAACAUGACAUUAUAAAAAAAGAAUAGAUUCCCAUGGAAAUGUUAUAGAAUCACGGCCGGAUGGAAUCGGUGCUCCCAAGAUUGACAAGCCUUUGCAGAGACAUGGUGGCAGACUUGAGCACAACGAGACAUACUGUGGUUCCUGUUAUGGUGCUGAAGCGAAUGAUGAGGACUGCUGUAAUAACUGUGAAGAGGUCCGUGAAGCUUACCGAAAGAAAGGUUGGGCCAUUUCAAAUCCAGAUUUGAUUGACCAGUGCAAAAGAGAAGGAUUUAUGCAAAGGAUUAAAGAUGAAGAAGGUGAAGGAUGCAAUAUAUAUGGAUUCUUGGAAGUCAAUAAGGUGGCUGGGAACUUUCAUUUUGCACCUGGGAAAAGCUUUCAACAAUCAAAUGUUCAUGUACAUGAUUUGCUGGCGUUUCAAAAGGAUAGCUUUAAUAUAAGUCACACAAUCAACAGAUUGUCUUUUGGAGACUACUUCCCUGGUGUUGUCAAUCCUCUUGAUGGGGUGCACUGGACACAGGACAACCCAAGUGGGAUGUAUCAAUAUUUUAUCAAGGUUGUUCCUACUGUGUACACAGAUGUCAGUGGGCACACUAUCCAGUCAAAUCAGUUCUCUGUCACUGAACAUUAUAGGGGUACAGAAAUAGGCAACCUUCAGUUCCUUCCUGGAGUGUUUUUCUUCUAUGACCUUUCCCCGAUAAAGGUAACUUUCACAGAGGAGCAUAUUUCAUUCUUACACUUCUUGACAAAUGUGUGUGCCAUUGUUGGAGGUAAUUACUGAAUGAUUAUUAACUUCCAAGUAUUCUUACGCUGUAGAGUAAUCUCCUAGUUUCCUAGCCUUGUGUGAACAUUUUAAAGACUUGUUAACCUUGGCAACAUGGUACAUUCUAGGGGUUCCUUUCUGUCAAU